AGCAGCCGCGGUAAUUCCAGCUCCAAUAGCGUAUAUUAAAGUUGUUGCAGUUAAAAAGCUCGUAGUUGAAUUUCGGGGUUAGUAGGUUGGUCAUGCCUCUGGUAUGUACUGGUCUCACUGAUUCCUCCUUCCUGAUGAGCCGUAAUGCCAUUAAUUUGGUGUUGCGGGGAAUUUGGACUGUUACUUUGAAAAAAUUAGAGUGUUUAAAGCAAGCUAACGCUUGAAUACAUUAGCAUGGAAUAAUGAAAUAGGACGUUCGAUCCUAUUUUGUUGGUUUCUAGGAUUGACGUAAUGAUUAAUAGGGAUAGUUGGGGGCAUUAGUAUUCAAUUGUCAGAGGUGAAAUUCUUGGAUUUAUUGAAGACUAACUACUGCGAAAGCAUUUGUCAAGGAUGUUUUCAUUAAUCAAGAACGAAAGUUAGGGGAUCGAAGACGAUCAGAUACCGUCGUAG
rnacentral:rRNA from 1 species